UUAUAUCAUCUCAGCGCGUUUAAUAACGAUUGGCGAAUAACUCAUCAUAAGUGGCAAAGAAGCCAAUCAAUGACAAGUACGUUGUAAUGUUGAUGAGAAAUGCUACAGUAACCCAUACCAUACGUAAUACAUUUUCAUAACAGCAGCUGACCAAACUACUACUUCAACAGGCAGGGCGAGUCCGGGACAUUAACAUAUCAUUCAUAUCCUGUAAACAACGCUUGUGUUUUCAAGGCAAACUACUGGGUACGAAACAGAUACAGUAGAAACUGUACGAUCUGUAGCCUACACCAUGGUGUGACUUCUGAUAAAAGCCAGCUCCUACGUGGUGCGCAAGAUCCGCUCUGCCAUUAAACAGGGAGAGCAAUCAGAGCAACCUGUGCUUACACCAUGUAGUCUGGCAAAAGGU